rnacentral:rRNA from 1 species
GACGAACGCUGGCGGCGUGCCUAAUACAUGCAAGUAGAACGCUGAAGGAGGAGCUUGCUCUUCUGGAUGAGUUGCGAACGGGUGAGUAACGCGUAGGUAACCUGCCUGGUAGCGGGGGAUAACUAUUGGAAACGAUAGCUAAUACCGCAUAACAGUAGAUGUUGCAUGACAUUUGCUUAAAAGGUGCAAUUGCACCACUACCAGAUGGACCUGCGUUGUAUUAGCUAGUUGGUGGGGUAACGGCUCACCAAGGCGACGAUACAUAGCCGACCUGCGAGGGGGAGUGGCCACACUGGGACUGAGACACGGCCCAGACGCCCUCGGGAGGCAGCAGGAGGGAAUCUUCGGCAAGGGACGGAAGUCUGACCGAGCAACGCCGCGGGAGUGAAGAAGGGUGUCGGAUCGUAAAGCUCGGUUGUAAGGGAAGAACGAGUGUGAGAGUGGAAAGUUCACACUGUGACGGUAUCUUACCAGAAAGGGACGGCUAACUACGUG